rnacentral:ncRNA from 1 species
GAAACCUCAUCUUGCUCGCCGCCAUCCGGGCGUCGAGCAGUGUUUUUACAAGAAAACACAGGCAAUCCGCCUGGGUGAGGAGAGAGA